rnacentral:rRNA from 1 species
UACGGAGGAUCCAAGCGUUGUCCGGAUUUAUUGGGUUUAAAGGGUGCGUAGGCGGAUAAUUAAGUCAGUGGUGAAAUCUUGCGGCUCAACCGUAAAAUUGCCAUUGAAACUGAUUAUCUUGAGUACAGUUGAGGUGGGCGGAAUGUAUCAUGUAGCGGUGAAAUGCUUAGAUAUGACACAGAACACCUAUUGCGAAAGCAGCUCACUAAACUGCAACUGACGCUGAGGCACGAAAGCGUGGGGAUCAAACAGG